rnacentral:lncRNA from 8 species
GCGAGAAAGACAGAGAGAGAGAGACAGAGACAGACAGAGAGAGAGACAGAAAGAUAGAGACGGAGAGAGAGAGAGACGGAGAGAGAGAGAGAGAGACACGGAGAGAGAGAGAGAGAGAGAGAGAGACACGGAGAGAGAGAGAGAGAGAGAGAGAGACACGGAGAGAGAGAGAGAGAGAGAGAGAGAGAGAGAGAAAAUUCUAAAUUCCACGAUCAUCAGCCACUGACUAUUGUGAACACUGGUCUUCUUCACGAUUGGAACAUCCUCGCCUGCUUUCUACAAUGUCUGUUUUCAGUCAGAAGUCUAAGCCUGUCAGAUGGAGUAAGGAGAUGAGUGCCAGUCAGAACAUCGCUGACAGCAGCAGGAAGAAGACCAGUCUGCUGAAAGACAACAGCUGGAUCAGACGCAGCAUGGAGGAGGAGGAGGAGCUAGUGGAUCUGAGGUGGGCCAGCCCAACCCUUCCACUGCCAGCCCUAGCACCCCAGUCAACCAUCUGACCAAGAGGUACAUUUACAUUAUGUUUAUCUUAGCAGCGUUCCUGCCUAGAAGGCCAGCAUCCCGGAGUCGCCUCUUCACUGUUGACAUUGAGACUGGUGUUUUGCGGGUACUAUUUAAUGAAGCUGCCAGUUGAGGACUUAUGAGGUGUCCGUUUCUCAAACUAGACACUAAUAUACUUGUCUUCUUGCUCAGUUGUGCACCCGGGCCUCCCACUCCUCUUUCUAUUCUGGUUAGAGCCAGUUUGCUUUGUUCUGUGAAGUUUCUUGGCAAUUUCUCACAUUGAAUGACUUCAUUUCUCAGAACAAGAGUAGACUGACAAGUUUCAGAAGAAGGUUCUUUGUUUCUGGCCAUUUUGAGCCUGUAAUCGAACCCACAAAUGCUGACGCUCCAGAUACUCAACUAGUCUAAAGAAGGCCAGUUUUAUUGCUUCUUUAAUCAGAACAACAGUUUUCAGCUGUGCUAGCAUAAUUGCAAAAGGGUUUUCUAAUGAUUAAUUAGCCUUUUAAAAUGAUAAACUUGGAUUAACUAACACAACGUGCCAUUGGAACACAGGAGUGAUGGCUGCUGAUAAUGGGCCUCUACACCUAUGUAGAUAUUCUAUAAAUAAAAUCUGCCGUUUCCAGCUACAAUAGUCCUUUACAACAUUAACAAUGUCUACACUGUAUUUCUGAUCAAUUUGAUGUUAUUUUAAAUGGACAAAAAAAAUUGCUUUUCUUUCAAAAACAAAAACAUUUCUAAGUGACCCCAAACUUUUGAACGGUAGUGUAUAUCUACUAUCUGGUAGUCACAGUGUUUUCUUUAAGUCUAUAUCUACUAUCUGGUAGUCACAGUGUUUUCUUUAACUCUAUAUCUACUAUCUGGUAGUCACAGUGUUUUCUUUAACUCUAUAUCUACUAUCUGGUGGUGACAGUGUUUUCUUUAACUCUAUAUCUACUAUCUGGUAGUCACAGUGUUUUCUUUAACUCUAUAUCUACUAUCUGGUAGGCACAGUGUUUUCUUUAACUCUAUAUCUACUAUCUGGUAGUCACAGUGUUUUCUUUA